rnacentral:rRNA from 1 species
AGUAACGGCGAGUGAAGCGGUAAUAGCUCAAAUUUGAAAUCUGGCCUCUCGGGGUCCGAGUUGUAAUUUGUAGAGGAUGUUUUGGGUACAGCCCCGGUCUAAAUUUCUUGGAACAGAAUGUCAAAGAGGGUGAGAAUCCCGUCUUGGACCGGCGGUAGGGCCUGUGUAAAACUCCUUCGACGAGUCGAGUUGUUUGGGA